UUACAUUCAAAAUAGUGUUACAUGGAGCUCUGAGGGCUAGCAGAAUUAAGGGAUGUGGCGAGAAGGCAGGAACGGGGUACUGAUUGUGGAUGAUCAGCCAUGAUCACAUUGAAUGGCUUGAAGGGCCGAAUCGCCUACUCCUGCAUAUAUUUUCUGUGUAUCUAUGAGAAGUUCAAGAUUA